AAUAUGUGCACCAAUGCCACGUCAGCGGGCACCAGUGUUGUCCAGUCUCCCAACUUCCCCGGCGACUACGGGAAUGACAGGGAAUGUCAUGUCAACAUUGUCGUGCCAGCAUGAAAGCGAAUCCGGUUGACAUUCACCACCUUCAAUUUGGAGACAGGCAAAGGUGAAAUUUCUCUUAGAUACAGAGAGACUGCUUAUUUGUCCCAUGUAAACGGAAACUCAGCUCCUGCGGUAGUCACCACAACAUCCAACAUUGUGAACAUGGAAUUUUAUUCCUAUUUUAGUAUGAAACCCAACGCCACAACAUAUAAAUGUCAGGCAACUUACACUGCUGUGUAACGUUGUAGGUAUCAACCAAUUCAACACUUCGGCUGACUACCCAAAAAAACAACGACCGAUGAAAAAAAUAGCUUUACUUCUAUUUUUAUCGAAGCAAAUCUAUAGUUUCAACAACUGCCACUUUGUUAACUAUUAACACACA